rnacentral:rRNA from 1 species
AUUGAACGCUGGCGGCAGGCCUAACACAUGCAAGUCGAACGGUAACAGGAAGAAGCUUGCUUCUUUGCUGACGAGUGGCGGACGGGUGAGUAAUGUCUGGGAAACUGCCUGAUGGAGGGGGAUAACUACUGGAAACGGUAGCUAAUACCGCAUAACGUCGCAAGACCAAAGAGGGGGACCUUCGGGCCUCUUGCCAUCGGAUGUGCCCAGAUGGGAUUCGCUAGUAGGUGGGGUAACGGCUCACCUAGGCGACGAUCCCUAGCUGGUCUGAGAGGAUGACCAGCCACACUGGAACAGAGACACGGUCCAGACUCCUACGGGAGGCAGCAGUGGGGAAUAUUGCACAAUGGGCGCAAGCCUGAUGCAGCCAUGCCGCGUGUAUGAAGAAGGCCUUCGGGUUGUAAAGUACUUUCAGCGGGGAGGAAGGGAGUAAAGUUAAUACCUUUGCUCAUUGACGUUACCCGCAGAAGAAGCACCGGCUAACUCCGUG